GAGGAAAUAUUAAAAAGUAUACUCCUAACCCCAAUUCGUCUUCUUCAUGAUUCCAACAACAACUCUUUCUAUCCCUACUUCUCAAAUUUUUACUCUGCCUCCCUCUAAAUAUCACUCUCUCUUUCUCUCUGUCCUCUUCUACAAUUCACCAAAACAGAAAAGAUCCCAACUCAUCCCCCUCGUUCCAAACUCGGCGCUGCAGGCAGCCUUCGCCGCCGCUGCUGUCAAGGCCUCUCCGUCGCCGAGAAACACCAGGUAGAAUAAUCUUCCAGGAUUAAGGUUAAAGAGAAAACAAAAAGGCAACUUCUAAAAGCAUUAAAGAUCAAGGCUUUAACAAGAACAAUCAACCAAUAAUUUUCCAGGAGUUUUAAUCGUGUGAGCUGCUGUAAAUAUGUGAAACUUGUAGUGGUUGGUAGCGGAAGCGUGCAAACAAACGGAUCACAUAAUACGGAUCUAUUUAGCAGAUUAUUUAGACAAAA